rnacentral:rRNA from 1 species
GUACCCGCUGAACUUAAGCAUAUCAAUAAGCGGAGGAAAAGAAAAUAACAAUGAUUACCCUAGUAGCGGCGAGUGAAGCGGUAAGAGCUCAAAUUUGAAAUCUCCAAGGUUUUUUACUUUGGCGAAUUGUAGUUUAAAGAACCAUUUUCUUGGAUAAACUGAGUAUAAGUCCUUUGGAACGAGGCAUCGUAGAGGGUGAUAAUCCCGUUUAUGAUUCAGUUUUAAUUCAUUUGUGAUAUGGUUUCUAAGAGUCGGGUUGUUUGGGAAUGCAGCCCUAAAUGGGAGGUAAAUACCUUCUAAAGCUAAAUAUUGACGAGAGACCGAUAGCGAACAAGUACCGUGAGGGAAAGAUGAAAAGAACUUUGAAAAGAGAGUUAAAUAGUACGUGAAAUUGUCAAUAGUGAACGGUUUGGAACUAUUGUAUGUGAAUUUCUAAUCAAUUACUUAUAAAGUAGUGCACUUAGAUUUUUUACAGGUCAACAUCAGUUUAAUUUGAAGUAGAAAGCUUAAAGGUUUUAUUCUCUUUUGGGUAAAACUCUUUUUGCUAUGCUUUGGAAUAGACUGAGGAAUGUAGUAUGGAUGGUGAACUUGUUGCCUUUUGAAGAUGCCUGGUAAACAAUUUAUUGAUUAUCAGGUAAUUCCUAUUAAGCCCAGCUUGUGAGCCCCCGUACUCUGGAUGUUGACGAAAUGGUUUUAAGCCACCCGUCUUGAAACACGGACCAAGGAGUCUAACAUAUCCGCGAGUAUUUGGGUGUCAAACCCACAUGCGUAAUGAAAGUGAAUAAGAUGGGAUCCAAUUUAUUUUGGUGCACCAUCGACCGGUCUGGAUUUUUUUGAUAGAUCUGAGUUAGAGCGUACAUGUUAGGACCCGAAAGAUGGUGAACUAAGCCUGAAUAGGGUGAAGUCAGAGGAAACUCUGAUGGAAGCUCGUAGCGGUUCUGACGUGCAAAUCGAUCGUCGAAUUUGGGUUUAGGGGCGAAAGACUGAUCGAACCAUCUAGUAGCUGGUUCCCUCCGAAGUUUCCCUCAGGAU